CCAACGGCCCUUUUAAGGGCCACUACUUUUUCCAAAGAGCUAUGG
rfam:Folsomia candida strain VT population Fcan01_Sc002, whole genome shotgun sequence.